rnacentral:rRNA from 1 species
CCCGGCGACAAGACGGUGGAGUAUGUGGUUAAUUUCGAUGCAACGCGAAGAACCUUACCUGGUCUUGACAUCCCGGAGACCCUUAGGAAACUAGGGGUGCUUCCAUCUGGAAGAAUCUGGAGGACAGGUGCUGCAUGGCUGUCGUCAGCUCGUGUCGUGAGAUGUUGGGUUAAGUCCCGCAACGAGCGCAACCCUUGCCUUUAGUUGCCAGCAGUUCGGCUGGGCACUCUAAAGGGACUGCCGGUGUUAAACCGGAGGAAGGUGGGGAUGACGUCAAGUCCUCAUGGCCUUUAUGACCAGGGCUACACACGUACUACAAUGGCCGAUACAAAGGGCAGCGACACUGCGAGGUGAAGCCAAUCCCGUAAAAUCGGUCUCAGUCCGGAUUGGAGUCUGCAACUCGACUCCAUGAAGUUGGAAUCGCUAGUAAUCGUGGAUCAGAAUGUCACGGUGAAUACGUUCCCGGGCCUU